rnacentral:rRNA from 1 species
AGAGUUUGAUCAUGGCUCAGGAUGAACGCUAGCGGCAGGCUUAACACAUGCAAGUCGAGGGGUAGAGGAAGCUUGCUUCCUUGAGACCGGCGCACGGGUGCGUAACGCGUAUGCAAUCUACCUUAUACAGGGGGAUAGCCCAGAGAAAUUUGGAUUAAUACCCCAUAGUGUAAUUGAGUGGCAUCAUUUGAUUACUAAAGUUCCAACGGUAUAAGAUGAGCAUGCGUCCCAUUAGCUAGUUGGUGUGGUAACGGCACACCAAGGCGACGAUGGGUAGGGGUCCUGAGAGGGAGAUCCCCCACACUGGUACUGAGACACGGACCAGACUCCUACGGGAGGCAGCAGUGAGGAAUAUUGGUCAAUGGGCGCAAGCCUGAACCAGCCAUGCCGCGUGCAGGAUGACGGUCCUAUGGAUUGUAAACUGCUUUUGUACAGGAAGAAACACUCCCUCGUGAGGGAACUUGACGGUACUGUAAGAAUAAGGAUCGGCUAACUCCGUGCCAGCAGCCGCGGUAAUACGGAGGAUCCAAGCGUUAUCCGGAAUCAUUGGGUUUAAAGGGUCCGUAGGCGGUUUUAUAAGUCAGUGGUGAAAUCUGGUCGCUCAACGAUCAAACGGCCAUUGAUACUGUAAGACUUGAAUUACUUGGAAGUAACUAGAAUAUGUAGUGUAGCGGUGAAAUGCUUAGAGAUACAUGGAAUACCAAUUGCGAAGGCAGGUUACUACGAGUGUAUUGACGCUGAUGGACGAAAGCGU